rnacentral:rRNA from 1 species
CGAAGGGUGCAAGCGUUAUCCGGAUUCAUUGGGUUUAAAGGGUGCGUAGGCGGAGCAUUAAGUUAGUGGUGAAAUCCUGCAGCUCAACUGUAGACUUGCCAUUGAUACUGAUGCUCUUGAGUGCGCUUGAAGUAGGCGGAAUGUGCCGUGUAGCGGUGAAAUGCUUAGAUAUGGCACAGAACACCAAUUGCGAAGGCAGCUUACUAAGGCGAUACUGACGCUGAGGCACGAAAGCGUGGGGAUCGAACAGGAUUAGAUACCCUGGUAGUCCACGCCGUAAACGAUGAUCACUCGAGAUUGGCGAUAUACGGUCAGUCUCCUAGCGAAAGCGUUAAGUGAUCCACCUGGGGAGUACGAUCGCAAGAUUG